CGCCGGGCGCCCCCGAAGGUCUCCAAACACUGCAUCUUUGCGUCGGAGUUUAAAACAAAUUAAACAAAACUUUCAACAACGGAUCUCUUGGUUCUGGCAUCGAUGAAGAACGCAGCGAAAUGCGAUAAGUAAUGUGAAUUGCAGAAUUCAGUGAAUCAUCGAAUCUUUGAACGCACAUUGCGCCCUUUGGUAUUCCGAAGGGCAUGCCUGUUCGAGCGUCAUUUCACCACUCAAGCCUGGCUUGGUAUUGGGCGUCGCGGCUCCGCGCGCCUUAAAGUCUCCGGCUGAGCCAUUCGUCUCUAAGCGUUGUGGAUUUUCUAAUUCGCUUCGGAGUGCGGGUGGCCGCGGCCGUUAAAUCUUUAUUCAAAGGUUGACCUCGGAUCAGGUAGGGAUACCCGCUGAACUUAAGCAUA
rnacentral:rRNA from 1 species